rnacentral:rRNA from 2 species
AGCGAGGAAAAGAAACCAACAGGGAUUGCCUCAGUAACGGCGAGUGAAGCGGCAAAAGCUCAAAUUUGAAAUCCCCCGGGAAUUGUAAUUUUGAAGAGAUUUGGGUCCGGCCGGCGGGGGUUAAGUCCACUUGGAAAGUGGCGCCACAGAGGGUGACAGCCCCGUGAACCCCUUCAACGCCCUCAUCCCAGAUCUCCAAGAGUCGAGUUGUUUGGGAAUGCAGCUCUAAGUGGGUGGUAAAUUCCAUCUAAAGCUAAAUACCGGCGAGAGACCGAUAGCGAACAAGUACAGUGAUGGAAAGAUGAAAAGCACUUUGAAAAGAGAGUGAAAAAGUACGUGAAAUUGUUGAAAGGGAAGGGCUUGCAAGCAGACACUUAACUGGGCCAGCAUCGGGGCGGCGGGAAACAAAACCACCGGGGAAUGUACCUUUCGAGGAUUAUAACCCCGGUCCUUAUUUCCUCGUUGCCCCGAGGCCUGCAUUCUAAGGAUGCUGGCGUAAUGGUUGCGAGUCGCCCGUCUGA